rnacentral:tRNA from 1 species
UGUGAAGUGCCUGAUUAAAGGACAAUUUUGAUGAAAUUGAUUAUGUGUCCUCCCCCUCCCCCCGACACCUUCACAA